CAAAAAGAUAUAAAUAGGAAAGGAUUUCUAUUGAGUGAGAUACUUUGUAGAUCAUUAGAGUGAGAGUUAGCUUGCAAGAGGACAGGAAUUUAGCAGGUGAAUACAGCUGCUGUCCUAUCUUGACAAACUCUCUGCCUUUAUCUUCUGGAGACUUACAAGUGCUCCCAAAGAGCAGUUGACUAUUUCAUGGAGUGUGGGAAACUGAGAUGACCCUCACAGAGGAUACAGAACUGAUUAUGAUGGGAUUUUAAUUACACUGCAGCUACUGGUUCUCUGAAUCUCCUCUGACAAUGAAAUCAAGUCCUCACUGAGUAGGGUGAAGCUUCAGCUAUUAAAAUUUAACGACCACAAUCUUUUUCCUUGUCUUUAAAUGAAAAUUGGCUUAAUAUUGAUAACUUGAAUUUUAACUCUUUGCUCUACCCUGUACUACAUUAUUGCAAGUAGCACAGGUGGCCUGCCCUGCUUCUUCACUGCCCUUUUUUGGCCUUACUGAACAAAGGAUGUGAUGUUGAUUUGUCACCAUGUUUGCCCAAACAACAUGCUGGCUUUUUUGGAUAAAGACUUUUGUAGCAAAGCAGGCAGUUGAAAGCAAAUUAAACUAUUUUCCUCUGCCUGCUUUUUCUUUUCUUUUUCUUUUAAUGAUCUUACCUUUCUACUGUGGCUAGACCUAUCCUAGUUCGAGGUAUCUUUGGUACAGGGAGAAUUGAUUUCAUUAUUUGGUUUUUCUGGGGAGAGGGAGUUCUUCAAUGGUUUGGA